rnacentral:rRNA from 1 species
GAUGAACGCUGGCGGCGUGCUUAACACAUGCAAGUCGAACGAAGCACUUUAUUUGAUUUCCUUCGGGACUGAUUAUUUUGUGACUGAGUGGCGGACGGGUGAGUAACGCGUGGGUAACCUGCCUUGUACAGGGGGAUAACAGUUGGAAACGGCUGCUAAUACCGCAUAAGCGCACAGCAUCGCAUGAUGCAGUGUGAAAAACUCCGGUGGUAUAAGAUGGACCCGCGUUGGAUUAGCUAGUUGGUGAGGUAACGGCCCACCAAGGCGACGAUCCAUAGCCGACCUGAUAGGGUGACCGGCCACAUUGGGACUGAGACACGGCCCAAACUCCUACGGGAGGCAGCAGUGGGGAAUAUUGCACAAUGGGCGAAAGCCUGAUGCAGCGACGCCGCGUGAGCGAAGAAGUAUUUCGGUAUGUAAAGCUCUAUCAGCAGGGAAGAUAAUGACGUUACCUGACUAAGAAGCACCAGCUAAAUACGU